AUGCGGGACUCCUUCAAGAGGCUCCGUAAUCGGAAUGAGUGGACUCUAAACCCCUUCACGAGGAUCAAUUGGAGGGCAAGUCUGGUGCCAGCAGCCGCGGUAACUCCAGCUCCAAUAGCGUAUAUUAAAGUUGCUGCAGUUAAAAAGCUCGUAGCUGGAUCUCGGUGGCAUUGUUGCCUGUUGGUGAUUGAGCGGCGGGUGUGUGGUCGUCGGUGCGCGGUUGCCUCGGCGCCUGCAUGUUGGUGGGCCGGUCAGUAGUUGGGCUGGUGGGGUGGCGUUUGUUGCGGUAGGGUGGUUGGUUGGUUGGUUGGUUGGUUGACCAGCUGGUCUGCUCUUUGCUCGCUCGUUCGCUCUCUUGCUGGCCGAUUGGUGAGCUGGCUCGCAUGUUCGCCUGCGGCGUUGGGGUGGCUGUGCAGUCGUGGCCAUGAGCAAGCACUGUCGCGUCAAGCCGACAAGGUGGUGGUGUCGCCUGUAAGCCAUGUCUGUGGUGUAGUCGCCGCAGGUGUGGGCGGGUGUUGGGCGGUGCUCUGCACGCGCUGCGGGGCCUGUCGGCUCGUCCACAUGCCUCUGGAUGCCCUUGAUUGGGUGUCUGCGGGCGGAUGGCACGUUUACUUUGAACAAAUUUGAGUGCUCAAGUCAGGCCGGUGUUGCCUGCAGAGUUUUGCAUGGAAUAAUGGAAGAGGACUUCGGUUCUAUUUCGUUGGUUUUCGGAUCCGAAGUAAUGAUCAAAAGAGACAGGCGGGGGCGUUUGUAUGGCUGCGCUAGAGGUGAAAUUCAUGGACCGUAGCCAGACAAACUAAAGCGAAGGCAUUCGUCAAGCAUGUUUUCAUUGGCCAUGAGCGAAAGUCAGAGGCUCGAAGACGAUCAGAUACCGUCCUAGUUCUGACCAUAAACGAUGCCAACUGACGAUCCGUGGUGGUAGUGAUGUUGCCUUCCCCACGGGCAGUCGCCGGGAAACCGUUAAGUGUUUGGGUUCCGGGGGAAGUAUGGUUGCAAAGCUGAAACUUAAAGGAAUUGACGGAAGGGCACCACCAGGAGUGGAGCCUGCGGCUUAAUUUGACUCAACACGGGAAAACUCACCCGGGCCGGACACUGUGAGGAUUGACAGAUUGAGAGCUCUUUCUUGAUUUGGUGGUUGGUGGUGCAUGGCCGUUCUUAGUUGGUGGAGCGAUUUGUCUGGUUAAUUCCGAUAACGAACGAGACUCCAGCCUGCUAAUUAGUGCGUUCGUCCACUGCGCCCGCGUGGGUGACGUUGGACGAUGCCGUCUGCCGUGGGUGCGCGGUUUGCGCUCUUGCCCUCUCCUCUCCUCUCCUCCCCUCCUGCACUUCUUCGUGUGAGGGUGGUGGGGCGGGGUGGGGUGGGCGAGGUUGCAGGUUCACGCCCGUGGUUGGUUAGUUUGGCGUUGGCCCGCGGGUGCGGCGCGAGUGUAUACUUCUUAGAGGGACAAGCGGGAGAAGCCGCGCGAGAUAGAGCAAUAACAGGUCUGUGAUGCCCUUAGAUGUCCGGGGCCGCACGCGCGCUACAAUGACGGUGUCAACGAGUGGGACCUUCUGGCCCGAGAGGGUUGGGCAAACUGGUCAAUCACCGUCGUGACAGGGAUCGGGGCUUGGAAUUGUUCCCCGUGAACGAGGAAUUCCUAGUAAGUGCAAGUCAUAAGCUUGCGCUGAUUACGUCCCUGCCCUUUGUACACACCGCCCGUCGCUACUACCGAUUGAAUGGCUUAGUGAGAUCCUUGGAUCGGCGUCAUUGUGGCAGCUGCCGGAAGGUCGCUGUCCUACAGUCGCCGAGAAGACGACCGAACUUGGUCAUUUAGAGGAAGUAAAAGUCGUAACAAGGUUUCCGUAGGUGAACCUGCGGAAG
rnacentral:rRNA from 1 species